rnacentral:rRNA from 1 species
UACGUAGGGUCCAAGCGUUGUCCGGAAUUAUUGGGCGUAAAGAGCGUGUAGGCGGUCUGGUAGGUCCGUUGUGAAAACUCGAGGCUCAACCUCGAGACGCCGAUGGAAACCCUCAGACUAGAGUCCGGAAGAGGAGAGUGGAAUUCCUGGUGUAGCGGUGAAAUGCGCAGAUAUCAGGAAGAACACCCGUGGCUAAGGCGGCUCUCUAGUACGGUACUGACGCUGAGACGCGAAAGCGUGGGGAGCGAACAGG